rnacentral:rRNA from 1 species
AGAGUUGAUCCUGGCUCAAGGAUGAACGCUAGCGACAGGCUAACACAUGCAAGUCGAGGGGCAGACAUAAAAGUAGCAAUACUUGGUGGCGACCGGCGCACGGGUGAGUAACGCGUAUGCAACCUACCUAUCAGAGGGGAAUAACCCGGCGAAAGUCGGACUAAUACCGCAUAAAACAGGGGCACCGCAUGGUGAUAUUUGUUAAAGAAAUUCGCUGAUAGAUGGGCAUGCGUUCCAUUAGGUAGUUGGUGAGGUAACGGCUCACCAAGCCGACGAUGGAUAGGGGAACUGAGAGGUUGGUCCCCCACACUGGUACUGAGACACGGACCAGACUCCUACGGGAGGCAGCAGUGAGGAAUAUUGGUCAAUGGGCGAGAGCCUGAACCAGCCAAGUCGCGUGAAGGAAGAAGGAUCUAUGGUUCGUAAACUUCUUUUGCAGGGGAAUAAAGUGCAGGACGUGUCCUGUUUUGUAUGUACCCUGAGAAUAAGGAUCGGCUAACUCCGUGCCAGCCGCCGC